ensembl:snRNA RNU6-675P RNA, U6 small nuclear 675, pseudogene
GUGCUCACUUACGCAGCACAUAUACUAAAAUUGGAAUGAUACAGAGAUUAGCACGGCCCCUGUGCACGGAUAACAUGCACAUUCAUGAAGCGUUCCAUAUUUUU